UACGAAGGGGGCGAGCGUUGUUCGGAAUUACUGGGCGUAAAGGGCGCGUAGGCGGCCGUGGAAGUCAGGCGUGAAAGCCCCGGGCUCAACCCGGGAGGGUCGUCGUGAACCGGGGGGCUUGAGGCCGGUAGAGGUGGGUGGAACUCCUGGUGGAGUGGUGAAAUGCGUAGAGAUCAGGAAGAACACCCGUGGCGAAGGCGGCCCACUGGGCCGGUACUGACGCUGAGGCACGAAGGCGUGGGGAGCGAACGGG
rnacentral:rRNA from 1 species